rnacentral:rRNA from 1 species
UACGAAGGGAGCUAGCGUUGUUCGGAAUCACUGGGCGUAAAGCGCACGUAGGCGGAUGUGUCAGUCAGGGGUGAAAUCCUGGAGCUCAACUCCAGAACUGCCUUUGAUACUGGCGAUCUUGAGUCCGGAAGAGGUGAGUGGAACUCCUAGUGUAGAGGUGGAAUUCGUAGAUAUUAGGAAGAACACCAGUGGCGAAGGCGGCUCACUGGUCCGGUACUGACGCUGAGGUGCGAAAGCGUGGGGAGCAAACAGG